rnacentral:rRNA from 1 species
AUUGAACGCUGGCGGCAUGCCUUACACAUGCAAGUCGAACGGCAGCACGGGGGCAACCCUGGUGGCGAGUGGCGAACGGGUGAGUAAUACAUCGGAACGUGCCCAGUAAUGGGGGAUAGCCCGGCGAAAGCCGGAUUAAUACCGCAUACGACCUACGGGUGAAAGCGGGGGACCGCAAGGCCUCGCGCUAUUGGAGCGGC